GGGGCUGUGGCGUAGCAGGUUAAGCUGUGGUCUGCAGCACCACUAUUCCAUAUGGAUCCAGGUUCAAGUCCUGGCUGCUCCA
rnacentral:tRNA from 1 species